rnacentral:rRNA from 1 species
CAAUUUCUCGCUAGGGAAGCGGGAAAAGCUCAAAUUUAAAAUCUGGCGGUCCCUGUGGCCGUCCGAGUUGUAAUUUAGAGAAGUGUUAUCCGUGCUGGACCGUGUACAAGUCUCCUGGAAUGGAGCGUCAUAGAGGGUGAGAAUCCCGUCUUUGACACGGACUGCCAGUGCAUUGUGAUGCGCUCUCAAAGAGUCGAGUUGUUUGGGAAUGCAGCUCAAAAUGGGUGGUAAAUUCCAUCUAAAGCUAAAUAUUGAGGAGAGACCGAUAGCGAACAAGUACCGUGAGGGAAAGAUGAAAAGAACUUUGGAAAGAGAGUUAAACAGUACGUGAAAUUGCUGAAAGGGAAACGCUUGAAGUCAGUCGCGCCGUUCAGGACUCAGCCUUGCUUUGCUUGGUGUACUUCCUGUUUGGUGGGUCAGCAUCAAUUUUGGUCGGUGGAUAAAGGCUUAGAGAAUGUGGCAUCUUCGGGUGUGUUAUAGCUCUGGGUCGCAUACAUCGGCUGGGAUUGAGGAACUCAGCACGCCGCAAGGCCGGGGACUUGUCCCACGUACGUGCUUAGGAUGCUGGCAUAAUGGCUUUAAUCGACCCGUCUUGAAACACGGACCAAGGAGUCUAACAUGCCUGCGAGUGUUUGGGUGGAAAACUCGAGCGCGUAAUGAAAGUGAAAGUUGAGAUCCCUGUCGUGGGGAGCAUCGACGCCCGGAGCAGACCUUUUUGUGACGCAUCCGCGGUAGAGCAUGUAUGUUGGGACCCGAAAGAUGGUGAACUAUGCCUGAAUAGGGGUGAAGCCAGAGGAAACUCUGGUGGAGGCUCGUAGCGAUUCUGACCGUGCAAUCGAUCGUUCGAAAUUUGGGGUAUAGGGGCGAAAGACUUAAUCGUAAUCCAUCUAGUUAGCCUGGUUCCUGCCCGAAGUU